UUUUUUGGAUGAAUUAUUAUAUUUGGUUUUAGUUACAUUUAAAAGCUUGAAAAUUACCUUUCUAACAAUCAUUUGAAUGUCAUUCAUUGUCACAUGAAAUCAGGUAUUUACGUUUUUUUCUAAUGCUAAAAUAUCCAACAUUGUAAUUGCCCUAUUUUUCCAUUUUUAUAAGUAUAAAAGCAAUGAAUUUUAACACUGGUAUUUAAAUAAUACAAAAUAUUAUCCAAAUUCAUAACAGCACAGUGAAGUUUCUUUUGAAGACUAUGUACUGGAAGCAUUUAGAACUUACCAAUAUAUACUGGGAUAAAUCGUUUCAAUAAAGUUUAUCAAAUAUUCUCCCCCCACCCCAAAUUCACAUGUUGAAGCCCUAACCUCCAAUGUGAUGGUAUUUGGAGAUGGGGCCUUUGGAAGGUAAUUAAGGCUAGAUAGGGUCACAAGGUUGGUCCCCUUAUGAUGGCAUUUGUGUUCUUAUACAAAGAGACAGGAGACUCUCUCCAUCAUGUGAAGAUACAGCAAAACAGCAGCUGUCUGCAAGCCAGGAAGGGAACCCUCACCAGGAACCAAACCAUGAUCUCGGACGUCCCAGCCUCUAGGAACGUAAGCAAUAAAUUUCUGUUAUUUAAGCCACCCAGUCUAUGGUAUCUUGUUAGGACAAUCUGACCUGGCUAAAUACCACCAUAUUAAGUUGAAUCAUAUAAAAUUAGUUAUAAUAGUUGAACACUUUUACUCAUAAAAAUAGUAAUUUCCUAAGGUUCAACCUAAUAUCAUCAGUACUAGGUCCUGUCUGUUCAUAAAAUUGAAUUGAGUUGACAAAUACGCAAAGAGCAGGGUCGGACAGGUGCGGUGGCUCACGCCUGUAAUCCCAGCACUUUGGGAGGCCGAGGCAGGCGGAUCACCUGAGGUGAGGAGUUCAAGACCAGCCUGGCCAACAUGGUGAAACUCUGUCUCUACUAAAAAUACAAAAAUUAGGCAGGCAUGGUGGUGCAUGCCUGUAGUCCCAGCUACUCAGGAGGUUGAGGCAGGAGAAUAACUUGAACCCAGGAGGUGAAGGUUGCAAUGAGCUGAAAUCGCGCCACUGCACUCCAGCCUGGGCAAUAGAGUGAGACUCUGUCUUAAAAAAAAAAAAAAAGAAAAGAAAAGAGCAGGGUCCUGUGAUACAGUACACUCUGAACCUGAUGGGAACCAGUCCUUCUAAUAAACUAGAGAUGGCUUUUACAGUAAAGCAAAGACAUCUCUUAUCAAUCACCUAUAUCCAUGAAUCAAAAGAGAAAACCAGGUCAGGCAUGAUGGCUCACACCUGUAAUCACAGCAUUUUGGUAGGUUGAGGUGGGCAGAUCACCUGAGGUCAGGAAUUUGAGACUAGCCUGGCCAACAUGGCAAAACCCCAUCUCUAAUAAAAAUACAAAAAUUAGCCGGGUGUGAUGGCACACGCCUGUAAUCCCAGGUACUCAGGAGGCUGAGGCAGGAGAAUCGCUUGAACCCGGGAGGCAGAGGCUACAAUGAACUGAGAUCACCACUGUGCUCCAGCCUGGGCAACAGAGCAAGACUCCUUCUCAAGAAAACUUUUUAUUCACAACUAGGAUUAUGCAAAAGCAACUCAACUUCAGUUAAAACAAGUCAUUUCAUAAUUGUUUUAAAACAAACUAUUGAAUACAAUGAGUGCACAUUUUAGGGCUUUAUAUCAUCUUCUUCCUCUUCAUGCUCUGCUUUCCUCUUUCUGGAAGGUUUACCUGAAUAAAUAUGAGAGGUAAGACAUAAAAUUCAAUAUAAAAUGUUUCUGGAAAUUUUAUCUAAAAUGGUUCUGACCUGACAGUGACGAGCCAGCCCUUCACGUUAGAGCCCAGUUUCUCCACCCUUGGUAGCCAAUGUGUGUCCCCACAGACACUGCCUAGAUCAGGCAACUGAACCUAGGUUUCCCCUGGGCAGUGGUCAGGGCUGAAGGGACACUUACUUUUUUUUUUUUUUGAGACAGAGUUUUGCUCAUUUCCCAGAUUGGAGUGCAGUGGCGCGAUCUCGGCUCACUGCAACCUCGGCUCGACCUCCUAGGUUCCAUUGAUCCUCCUGCCUAAGCUUCCUAAGUAGCUGGGACUACCUGUGCUCAGCUAAUUUUUUAUUUUAUUUUAUUUUAUUUUAUUUUUGUUGUUGUUGUUGUUGUUGUUGUAUAGCUGGGGGUCUAAUCUUGGUCUCAGGCUGGGCUCAAACGAUCCGCCCGCCUCAGCCUCCCAAAGUGCUGGGCUCCCAAAGCACCCAGCCUACAGAUGAUUUAAAGCAUAGCUUAUAUGCAAAUGUGCCUUUCCAUCUUCCUAGAGUGCCUAACCUGGCCUGUGUGCUUGUAAGCUUCUGCUCAUUCUUCAAUACCCAGCAGAGACUUCCUCCUCCAUGCAGCCUUCCAAGACCCACCUGAGUACAGGACUCCCGUUGAGUGGAAGCCCUCAAGCGUUCUUCUUUCUGUAAAAAAGCAAAUAACCUCUUCAGCCUAAAACAGAAACUUGUGCCCUCUUGCAUCUACUUUUACCAUAAAGAACACAUAACAGCUGUCCCAUGUGUCUUUGGGGUACCAUCUUCCCCAUCACACCUCUGUUACUCCACGUGGAUCCAUUGGUUUGCAGGUGUGAAGGCAAUGCAAGGGUGAAGAGGCAGAAGGGGCCAGGUGUGGUUCACGCCUGUAAUCCCAGCACUCUGGGAGGCCAAGGCGGGCAGAUCUCUUGAGGUCAGGAGUUCGAGACCAGCCUGGGCAACAUGGCAAAACCCCGUCUCCACCAAAAAAUGCAAAAAUUAGAUGGAGGUGGUGGCGCAUGCCUGUAGUCCUCAGCUACUUGGGCGGCUGAGGCAUUGUGAAAGGUUACUUUUUUAAAAUCAUCAGUUUUCUAGAUUUCAGAGUCCUUUGUUUGGUAGUCUCACCAGCAGCCAUUGACAUUACUGUGGUUAACUACACACUUAGAAGGUUAAGCUGGUUCCCUAAUAACUGCAAGAAAUAAAACAGCAGUGGCAAUAAGAAAUGGUGAAUUAAUGUUCUGGAAAACAUAGGUCUUACUACCCCAAAUGUCCCAGGAUAAAGCUUAGCAAACAUACCUUCUUCAUCACUUGUGUGUGUUGGCCUUCAGGAUCACGACCCGCCAUUGGUAAGAUUCUAAUUUUCUGUGUCUUUGAACUUCUAUUAGCACAAAAACACCCGGGGACGAGGACCUCACACUCAGCAGACAGAGGAGGCAGGAUCACAGUUCUUCCUUCUCCAGCCUCCUGAGAAGCUCCUCCCUCUGCCCCACCUCCUGGGGAAAGCUGACUGGGCUAAAGUGGGAGUGCAGUGGAAGUGAGGAGAGGCAGGUGGCAACGUCAGUCUUUUACAAAGAAUAUCCCCGAUUGCAGUCAGAGAGAGGAGAAGAGAAGGAAUAUGAAAUCUCAGUUUCCAGAGAGAGAUGCAGAUGCCAGAAGGGACAAUUAGAGAACUAACAAUGAGUCUCUUCAUCUGGAAAAAAUUGGAAGUCAAAGCAAGGAGUGCAGUGAGCCAAGAUUGCACCACUGCACUCUAGCACUCCAGCCUGACAGAGCAAGAGUCUGUCUCAAAAAAAAAAAAGAAGAAAAGAAAAUGACCCCAAAAGAAGUUUCUACAAAGAAAACCUCACUCAUCCCAGGCCUCCCUCUUGGUAUGUCAGUAUUUUUCAGGCAUUUUAUGCUCACCUUCUGUCUGACCACUUGACCAUCCGAGCAUUGCUUUCUUUAAUUUUAUUUCCUUCUUUAUCCCGUUCUUUAAAUCUUUUCUGAGCUCCAGUUCAUAGCAGUGGAAGCAGGAGCUAAGUAGGACGCAGGCCAGAGGUGUUAUCAAACAAAACACAUGAAGAACUCCAAAGGAGAGAGCAUGAGGCUUAGGGUCCACAUGAGGCAGAGAGUUUAAAAUGAGACCUCUGCCUAUGGCAGGGCCACUUGAAGAUGAACCCAAUGAAAGAAGGGCUAAAAAGUGCCCCCAUUCACCUAGUGAGACAGGGAAGCUCUGGGCAUGAAAUUACAAUUUUUUAAAAAGAAUAAACAACUAAUUAACAAAAAAUUAAAACAUGAGAUCGGUGCUUUGCCCUGUUUUUGAGUCUAAAUUUAUUCUACCCAUAUGGUGAACUCCAAGUCACAAAAGUAACAACAACAACAACAAUUUCCCCAAAGGUCAAAGUAGCAUAAUGAAAUAAAGUGUACGUUGGCUCCUAAAUCCAGAAAGAUCCACCAAACAUUCUUUUGCACUGGUAGGUGGUUUAAGGUACAGCACCUUAUCCUUCAUUUUGGAGGGGCUAUCCAGACAUGCUCCAGACCAUUAGUCCCCCAGAAACUUCACUGAGGUGGCAUGCCCCUAAAUUUUGAUGGGGAUUAUCUCCCACUCUCUGGUUUGCACGCUGAUUACUAAGGCAUCUAAAGUACAGUUAUUUCCUACUCAUCAGAUCAGAUACCAUCAGCAUAAUGUCAUCAAUGCAGUGGACCAGUGUGACAUGGGGAACAUAAAGAUGGUCACGAUUUUUGCAGACUCCAUAUGCAAAGUAUUAUAG
rnacentral:lncRNA from 10 species